rnacentral:rRNA from 1 species
GACGUAGGAGGCGAGCGUUGUCCGGAUUCAUUGGGCGUAAAGCGCACGUAGGCGGCUUUCUAAGUCAGGGGUGAAAUCCUGGAGCUCAACUCCAGAACUGCCUUUGAUACUGGAGAGCUAGAGUCCGGAAGAGGUGAGUGGAACUGCGAGUGUAGAGGUGAAAUUCGUAGAUAUUCGCAAGAACACCAGUGGCGAAGGCGGCUCACUGGUCCGGUACUGACGCUGAGGUGCGAAAGCGUGGGGAGCAAACAGG